rnacentral:rRNA from 1 species
GACAGAGGUGGCAAGCGUUGCUCGGAUUUACUGGGCGUAAAGCGUGCGCAGGCGGUUUGUUAAGCGAGAUGUGAAAGCCCCGGGCUCAACCUGGGAACCGCAUUUCGAACUGGCAAACUAGAGUCUUGUAGAGGGGGGUAGAAUUCCAGGUGUAGCGGUGAAAUGCGUAGAGAUCUGGAGGAAUACCGGUGGCGAAGGCGGCCCCCUGGACAAAGACUGACGCUCAGGCACGAAAGCGUGGGGAGCAAACAGG